rnacentral:rRNA from 1 species
UCAGGAUGAACGCUAGCUACAGGCUUAACACAUGCAAGUCGAGGGGCAGCAUUGGAGUAGCAAUACUCAGAUGGCGACCGGCGCACGGGUGAGUAACACGUAUCCAACCUGCCGCUUACUCGGGGAUAGCCUUUCGAAAGAAAGAUUAAUACCCGAUGGUAUAAAGAGUUCGCAUGUUCUCUUUAUUAAAGAAUUUCGGUAAGCGAUGGGGAUGCGUUCCAUUAGAUAGUUGGCGGGGUAACGGCCCACCAAGUCUACGAUGGAUAGGGGUUCUGAGAGGAAGGUCCCCCACAUUGGAACUGAGACACGGUCCAAACUCCUACGGGAGGCAGCAGUGAGGAAUAUUGGUCAAUGGGCGGGAGCCUGAACCAGCCAAGUCGCGUGAAGGAAGAAGGAUCUAUGGUUCGUAAACUUCUUUUGCAGGGGAAUAAAGUGCAGGACGUGUCCUGUUUUGUAUGUACCCUGAGAAUAAGGAUCGGCUAACUCCGUGCCAGCCGCGGC